GAUGAACGCUGGCGGCGUGCCUAAUACAUGCAAGUCGAACGAACGGACAGUGAGCUUUUUCUCCUAAGGUUAGCGACUGGCGGAUGAGUAACGCAUACAUAGCCUACUUCUAUUUCGUGGAUGACUUCGUGAGGCAAGAUCUGCUACCACAGCAUAUGUUCAACCGCAUAGUUCAGUAGUUAAUCACACUUUUCCUGUCUCUUAUAGAUGAUGUCGCGCCGGAUUAGCUAGUUGGUAAGGUAACGGCAUACCAAGGCAACGAUGCGUAGCUGAUCUGAGAGGAUGAUCAGCCACACUGGAACUGAGACACGGUCCAGACUCCUACGGGAGGCAGCAGUAGGGAAUAUUGGGCAAUGGGCGCAAGCCUGAUCGAGCCACGCCGCGUGAGUGAAGAAGGUCUUCGGAUUGUAAAGCCCUGUUAUUGGGAAAGAAAAGCUGUAUAAGAAAACACGGCUGUCCUGACGGUACCUAAAGAGAAAGCAACGGCUAACUUCGUG
rnacentral:rRNA from 1 species